rnacentral:rRNA from 1 species
GUCCUAGCCUUAAACGAUGCAUACUAGAAGUAGGAGGGCUCAACCCUUUCUGUUUCGGAGCUAACGCGUUAAGUAUGCCGCCUGGGGAGUACGCUCGCAAGGGUGAAACUCAAAAGAAUUGACGGGGGCCCGCACAAGCAGUGGAGCAUGUGGUUUAAUUCGAUGCAACGCGAAGAACCUUACCUGGGCUCGAAAUGUAGAGGACGUUACAAGAGAUUGUAAUUCCCGUAAGGGUCUCUAUAUAGGUGCUGCAUGGCUGUCGU